rnacentral:lncRNA from 1 species
AAAGCAAAAGCCAAUUAAUGAAGACAUUACUUCUAUUUUAUUUUUAUUUUUUUUGUCAUCAAAGAUAGUACUUCUAUUUUAAGACUGUGUUUUGGGUUUUGACUUUUAAUUAAACAUAAUGAUAUUAUAUGCAUACAACAAUAUAUCACAAACAUGACACAAAUGCAACAAUUUUCAACCGAAAGAAAUAAUCAACAUUGUAAUCACAAUAAACUAAAUUUAUCGACUGCGUCAAUGACUAUGGUCUAUGGACGACUUUGAUAAAACCAAAAAAAAAAACCGAAAGUUGUGUUCAACUUUGGUAUGAAAAGAAAAGUAGAAUAUUUAAGUAAAAGAGUUGUGAGAAAGAAGAAAAGAUAAAGAAACAAGGCC